GGCGGCUUGUGGUAGAGAAAUGAACAUUACCAAACUCUCUAAAAGAUCGUUUAGAGGCGGCUUGUGGUAGAGAAAUGAACAUUACCAAACUCUGUAAAACGACGUUUAGAGGUGGCUUGUGGUAGAGAAAUGAACAUGACCAAACUCUCGAAAAGAACGUUUAGAGGCGGCUUGUGGUAGAGAAAUGAACAUUACCAAACUGUAAAACGACGUUUAGAGGUGGCUUGUGGUAGAGAAAUGAACAUGACCAAACUCUCUAAAACAACAUUUAGAGGCGGCUUGUGGUAGAGAAAUGAACAUUACCAAACUCUCUAAAACAACGUUUAGAGGUGGCUUGUGGUAGAGAAAUGAACAUGACCAAACUCUGUAAAACAACAUUUAGAGGCUGGUUGUGGUAGAGAAAUGAACAUGACCAAACUCUGUAAAACGACGUUUAGAGGCGGCUUGUGGUAGAGAAAUUAACAUUACCAAACUCUGUAAAACGACGUUUAGAGGCGGCUUGUGGUAGAGAAAUGAAUAUGACCAAACUCUCUAAAACGACGUUGAGAGGCGGCUUGUGGUAGAGAAAUGAACAUUACCAAACUCUGUAAAAUGAUGUUUAGAGGCGGCUUGUGGUAGAGAAAUUAACAUUACCAAACUCUCUAAAACAACAUUUAGAGGCGGCUUGUGGUAGAGAAAUGAACAGCUCUGGGGGACAUUCCUACAGUCAGCAUGCCAGUUACACGCUCCCUCACAACUCGCAGCCCAUGUGUCAGCUGAAGUUGACAGAUUUUUGAUGGGGAUUUUUGAAUAUGUUACUGACUCUAUUAAAUACUAAUCUUAACUGUUACGGUGAUGAUGAUGUAAUGACCUGAAUUCCUAGGAUCCCAUAGCAACCGUCACCUCGGUAACCAGUAAACCCAAAAGCAAGUGGAGGCCACUGCCCCUGGACACAGUGGAAAUGGAGAAGCUGGUUUCCAGGAAGUUGAGAAUCGGCGCCAAAGAGACCAUGAAGAUCGCUGAGAAACUAUACACACAGGGGUUAAUCAGUUAUCCGCGCACAGAGACCAACCUGUUUCCUAAGGACCUGGCCCUGGGCCCCCUGGUGGAGCAU